AGACGCGCACAGCUCCUGCCCCGGGCAUUUAAAGGGACAGGCCCGCGCGCGGGAAUCGCCCGCGACCGCCUCUCUCAGGGGUCCUCGGUCUUGGUAUGAGUGAAACCCCACCCGCCAUCUCCGUAAUACACAUGCGGAGGAAAGUAACAGGGGUUUGCGUUUGAAGCUCUGAAGAAACAGGACAAUCUGUCCCAAUCCCCACCCCGUGAACUUUGAGAGGUUAUUUUAUGUUUGGUGGCAAUUACUACGACCUGAAUACUUAUUACCUUCGGAUGAGCCAUUUUACAUACUUUAUUUCACCUAAUCCUCAGGACAAUGCCCUGAUUUCUUGCCCCCAUUUUACAGAGGAGGGUUCUGAGGAAAACCGUCGCAGAGAGGCGAAGAAACUGGUCCUAGGGUUUUGACCCCCAUUGCUCCGCGCCGUUUUCUCCUUGACUCUGUCCCUGUGGAAACACCGACUGAGAUCAGUAUUUGAAGGAGAAAUAUUUGCGGAAGAAACAAAUAUAGAAGCAAACGAUCUUCACUAACACUUGUGAGUGCUUUGGGAGUGAACUUCGUUUCAGGAAAUUUCAGAAAAUUUCAGAAUUAAACAAGAGCUGCAACUGGCCUCAACUGAGUGGCAGAUUAUUAAAUAAGUUUUAAAAAAGAGAAUCACAACUGGACAAAAAAAAAAAAAAAAAUGGAAAUCACACCAGAUGCUACCAUCUACUAAGGAGAAACAGGCUACAAAAGAACCAAGAGAUGAACCUGUUCUACUCUCCAAUCUGUGGCUUCCUACAAUAAAAGAAUUUUGCAAAUUCAGAGACACUGCCUGACAGGCUUGCAGUGCCAACCGUCUGCCUGGCUUACCUCAGAACAGAUUUGAAAUACUUCAGCAUGAUAUUGUGGACCCUGCUCAUCUGUCAGUUCCUUCAAAUCAUGCCCAGAAGAAAAUACAGGACCCUCAGCUGCAAAUGUAAUCCAGUUGAGAAAAGAAAAUAAAAAGGUUUGCCGUCAGAAACGUUACUGCCACCUCAACAGAAAGGGCAAGUCAGAGUCGUUCCAGAAUCAUCGCUGCCCAGACUGACACUGUGAAGUGUGUGAGACAAUGGCAGGAGCCAGUGGAGUCUGGCACGCAGUGCUACCCUCAAAGUACUUCUUCCUGUGGUUCUUCAGAAAGAAUGAGGUUAGGAAAAGAGCCA